CGCGUAGGCGGUAUGGUCAGUCGGAUGUGAAAGCCCCGGGCUCAACCUGGGAAUUGCAUUCGAUACUGCCAAACUAGAAUAUGGGAGAGGCAAGUGGAAUUUCCGGUGUAGCGGUGAAAUGCGUAGAUAUCGGAAGGAACACCAGUGGCGAAGGCGGCUUGCUGGCCCAAUAUUGACGCUGAGGUGCGAAAGCGUGGGUAGCGAACAGGAUUAGAUACCCUGGUAGUCC
rnacentral:rRNA from 1 species